AGUGAACGCUGGCGGUAGACCUAACACAUGCAAGUCGAACGGCAGCACAGUAAGAGCUUGCUCUUAUGGGUGGCGAGUGGCGGACGGGUGAGGAAUACAUCGGAAUCUACUUUUUCGUGGGGGAUAACGUAGGGAAACUUACGCUAAUACCGCAUACGACCUACGGGUGAAAGCAGGGGAUCUUCGGACCUUGCGCGAUUGAAUGAGCCGAUGUCGGAUUAGCUAGUUGGCGGGGUAAAGGCCCACCAAGGCGACGAUCCGUAGCUGGUCUGAGAGGAUGAUCAGCCACACUGGAACUGAGACACGGUCCAGACUCCUACGGGAGGCAGCAGUGGGGAAUAUUGGACAAUGGGCGCAAGCCUGAUCCAGCCAUACCGCGUGGGUGAAGAAGGCCUUCGGGUUGUAAAGCCCUUUUGUUGGGAAAGAAAAGCAGCAGGUUAAUACCCCGCUGUUCUGACGGUACCCAAAGAAUAAGCACCGGCUAACUUCGUG
rnacentral:rRNA from 1 species